AGUCCUACGGGGCGCAGCAGUAGGGAAUCUUCCACAAUGGACGAAAGUCUGAUGGAGCAACGCCGCGUGAGUGAAGAAGGGUUUCGGCUCGUAAAGCUCUGUUGGUAGUGAAGAAAGAUAGAGGUAGUAACUGGCCUUUAAUUGACGGUAAUUACUUAGAAAGUCACGGCUAACUACGUGCCAGCAGCCGCGGUAAUACGUAGGUUGCAAGCGUUGUCCGGAUUUAUUGGGCGUAAAGCGAGUGCAGGCGGGUCAAUUAGGCUGGUGUUGAAACCUUCUGCUCAACC
rnacentral:rRNA from 1 species